rnacentral:rRNA from 1 species
AAACGACUCUCGGCAACGGAUAUCUCGGCUCUCGCAUCGAUGAAGAACGUAGCGAAAUGCGAUACUUGGUGUGAAUUGCAGAAUCCCGUGAACCAUCGAGUCUUUGAACGCAAGUUGCGCCCGAGGCCUCYUGGUCGAGGGCACGUCUGCCUGGGUGUCACGC